CGGACUUUGCGGGCGGGCGGGCACUGGUGAGAAGAGGAAGUGGGAGAGGCCUGGGAAGGAAACUUGGAAACCGAAAACUCGGCGGCCGAGGCUCCGUGCCCCGCGCGCAGCGCUGCUCCUGCCCCGGCCAAGGACGCACGGGCCAGCCGGCGGAACCAGAGGUUUUCAGUGAUGUUGAGAGUCAACAGGAAAUUAAUCAGCAAGUAGAAAAUUGAAAGAAGAUCUGCAUCUUACUGCAGGAGUCAUUAAAAUAAAAGCAGAUUUGGCAAAAUGGCAAGAACCAGAGGAUGAGGAUGUAAAACAAAAACUUUUGGAGUCAUUUUGCCACCAGGAUGAAAAUAGGAUGAAGCUGACAUGACAAAGGUGCAGGGGGCAACUAUUGCAUCCAGAAAAAAAAAAAAUGAAGAUAAUGACUUCUCUGCAACUAAGAUGAAGAUCCACUGAACUUUGGGGUUUGAAAUGCAACGUUAGAACUUCAGACUCCCGGCACCUAGGUCUCCAGCUGCUGGGUGGUGCCAGCAUCAGAGAUACACUCUGCAAAACAUAUACUGUCUUAGGAAAAAGUGACCCUGUUGUCCUUUCAGGCCCAUAUUCCACAAGAAGACAAAUGGAGAUGUAAAAGGAAAACUGCAGCUCCGACUGAAGAGAGAGCAAGUUGUCUGUUCUGAUACAGCCAGGAAAUAAGAUGUUCUGGUUAAUAUGUGCUAAAGAUGUGGUGCUGACUUUCCGA
rnacentral:lncRNA from 1 species